AGCUAGUUGGUGAGGUAAUGGCCCACCAAGGCGACGACGGGUAGCCGGCCUGAGAGGGUGACCGGCCACACUGGGACUGAGACACGGCCCAGACUCCUACGGGAGGCAGCAGUGGGGAAUAUUGCACAAUGGGCGCAAGCCUGAUGCAGCAACGCCGCGUGAGGGACGACGGCCUUCGGGUUGUAAACCUCUUUUAGUAGGGAAGAAGCGAAAGUGACGGUACCUGCAGAAAAAGCACCGGCUAACUACGUGCCAGCAGCCGCGGUAAUACGUAGGGUGCAAGCGUUAUCCGGAAUUAUUGGGCGUAAAGAGCUCGUAGGCGGUUUGUCGCGUCUGCUGUGAAAACUGGAGGCUCAACCUCCAGCCUGCAGUGGGUACGGGCAGACUAGAGUGCGGUAGGGGAGAUUGGAAUUCCUGGUGUAGCGGUGGAAUGCGCAGAUAUCAGGAGGAACACCGAUGGCGAGGCAGAUCUCUGGGCCGUAACUGACGCUGAGGAGCGAAAGCAUGGGGAGCGAACAGGAUUAGAUACCCUGGUAGUCCAUGCCGUAAACGUUGGGAACUAGAUGUAGGGGCCAUUCCACGGCUUCUGUGUCGCAGCUAACGCAUUAAGUUCCCCGCCUGGGGAGUACGGCCGCAAGGCUAAAACUCAAAGGAAUUGACGGGGGCCCGCACAAGCGGCGGAGCAUGCGGAUUAAUUCGAUGCAACGCGAAGAACCUUACCAAGGCUUGACAUAUACCGGAAAAGUUCAGAAAUGUUCUCCCCGCAAGGUCGGUAUACAGGUGGUGCAUGGUUGUCGUCAGCUCGUGUCGUGAGAUGUUGGGUUAAGUCCCGCAACGAGCGCAACCCUCGUUCUAUGUUGCCAGCACGUAAUGGUGGGAACUCAUAGGAGACUGCCGGGGUCAACUCGGAGGAAGGUGGGGAUGACGUCAAAUCAUCAUGCCCCUUAUGUCCUGGGCUUCACGCAUGCUACAAUGGCCGGUACAAAGGGCUGCAAUACCGCAAGGUGGAGCGAAUCCCAAAAAGCCGGUCUCAGUUCGGAUUGAGGUCUGCAACUCGACCUCAUGAAGUCGGAGUCGCUAGUAAUCGCAGAUCAGCAACGCUGCGGUGAAUACGUUCCCGGGCCUUGUACACACCGCCCGUCAAGUCAUGAAAGUCGGUAACACCCGAAGCCAGUGGCCCAACCGCAAGGAGGGAGCUGUCGAAGGUGGGAUCGGUGAUUAGGACUAAGUCGUAACAAGGUAGCCGUACCGGGAGGUGCGGCUG
rnacentral:rRNA from 1 species